rnacentral:rRNA from 1 species
AUUGAACGCUGGCGGCAGGCUUAACACAUGCAAGUCGAGCGGGGUGAUGGUGCUUGCACUAUCACUUAGCGGCGGACGGGUGAGUAAUGCUUAGAAAUCUGCCUAUUAGUGGGGGACAACAUCUCGAAAGGGAUGCUAAUACCGCAUACGUCCUACGGGAGAAAGCAGGGGAUCACUUGUGACCUUGCGCUAAUAGAUGAGCCUAAGUCGGAUUAGCUAGUUGGUGGGGUAAAGGCCUACCAAGGCGACGAUCUAUAGCGGGUCUGAGAGGAUGAUCCGCCACACUGGGACUGGGAAACGGCCCAGACUCCUACGGGAGGCAGCAGUGGGGAAUAUUGGACAAUGGGGGGAACCCUGAUCCAGCCAUGCCGCGUGUGUGAAGAAGGCCUUAUGGUUGUAAAGCACUUUAAGCGAGGAGGAGGCUCUUUUGGUUAAUACCCAAGAUGAGUGGACGUUACUCGCAGAAUAAGCACCGGCUAACUCUGUGCCAGCCGCCGCCGUAA